CUAUCCUUCAGGAAAAUAUGCUGCUGUCCUCCUGUUACCUACGAACACUGUUUUUGUGUGUUUUUGAUUGUUUGUUUUUGUUUUUGUUUUUCGAUUCAUCUCAUGCAGUGGCUAUAAAGCCAAACACUAGCUCUUCACAUUUCCAUGGAGUGAUCCUCGGAAUUUUUCAUGCUGAGCAAACUACAUCUGGUUUACGGAGCAGUCCAGGACAGCCCACACGAGAAUGCAAACCACUCCCGUUUCGUGAUCUGGACUGCCAAAUUCAGUGAACUUUGAUGACACACCUCCCCGACCAACCGGCAAAGAGGAGGGCGGUUUCAACAUCUUGGACUAGCUGUGAACCACUAUUGUAACCUGAGGGGUGCAGACGGCGAAUUCAAGUGAGAAUUUCUGGCCAGCUUAUUAGCAUUAAA